AUGGAGGUGACGGGGUGGUGGCACCCACGGUGACCGUUUUCAUCAGCAGCUCCCUCAACACCUUCCGCUCAGAGAAGCGGUACAGCCGCAGCCUCACCAUCGCUGAGUUCAAGUGUAAACUGGAGUUGCUGGUGGGCAGCCCUGCUUCCUGCAUGGAAAUGGAGCUGCAUGGAGUUGACGACAAGUUCUACAGCAAGCUGGAUCAAGAGGAUGCGCUGCUGGGCUCCUACCCUGAUUAGAUGACGGCUGCCGCAUCCACCUCAUUGACCACAGGGGCGCCUGCCUUGGUGAGUAUGAGGACCUGUCCCGGGUGGAGAAGUACAUGAUCUCACAAGAAGCCUGCAACCAGAGGCAAGACAUGGUCCGCUUCAGUCCGCUUCUUCCUGAAGCGCAGCAAGCUUGGCCGCUACAACGAGGAGGAGGGGGCUCAGCAGGAGAGGCCGAGGCCGCCCAGCGCCUCGCCAAGGAGAAGGCCGAGGCCAGCUCCAUUCCCGUGGGCAGCCGCUGUGAGGUGCGGGUGGUGGGGCACUCCCCUCGCUGGGGUACCGUCAUGUAUGUGGGUCUCACAGAUUUCAAGCCUGGUUACUGGAUUGGUGUCCGCUAUGAUGAGCCACUGGGAAAAAACGAUGGCAGUGUGAAUGGGAAAUGCUACUUCGAAUGCCAGGCCAAGUAUGGCGCCUUUGUCAAGCCAGCAGUCGUGACCGUGGGGGACUUCCCAGAGGAGGACUACGGGUUGGACGAGAUAUGACACCCAAGGAAUUCCACUGCUCCAGCUCCUAACCCGGCCACUGACUGCCCCUCCUGUGUGUGCCCAUGGCCCUUUUCUCCUGACCCCAUUUUAAUUUUAUUCAUUUUUUCCUCUGCCAUUGAUUUUUGACACUCGUGCAUUAAAUUCACUAGAAACCC